rnacentral:rRNA from 1 species
AACGAACGCUGGCGGCAGGCUUAACACAUGCAAGUCGAACGCCCCGCAAGGGGAGUGGCAGACGGGUGAGUAACGCGUGGGAACAUACCCUUUCCUGCGGAAUAGCUCUGGGAAACUGGAAUUAAUACCGCAUACGCCCUACGGGGGAAAGAUUUAUCGGGGAAGGAUUGGCCCGCGUUGGAUUAGCUAGUUGGUGGGGUAGAGGCCUACCAAGGCGACGAUCCAUAGCUGGUCUGAGAGGAUGAUCAGCCACAUUGGGACUGAGACACGGCCCAAACUCCUACGGGAGGCAGCAGUGGGGAAUCUUGCGCAAUGGGCGAAAGCCUGACACAGCCAUGCCGCGUGAAUGAUGAAGGUCUUAGGAUUGUAAAAUUCUUUCACCGGGGACGAUAAUGACGGUACCCGGAGAAGAAGCCCCGGCUAACUUCGUGCCAGCAGCCGCCGUAAGAC